GUUUUAUUGCGACAUCAACGGUGUCUUUGUCAAGCCACAAAUUCAAGUGCAUUACACAUAGUGUUGUAUAUAUGGAUACAUGCAACAUUUAACCAGUAUAAUCCAUGUGUUUACAAAUACAAAAAGAUAAGUCCUGCGCUCACUCCCAUCACUCCUGGGCGGCAGGAACAACCACAGUACACAUCAGCCCCAAUAUAUAGUAAAAAACAAAGAAAAAAGUUACCUGCACUCUCUCCUUAAUCCCUAUUGGAGGGAAUGUCCGCCUGCCAACGUCAAGGCAGACCCCCCUAAGCGGGUCCUACACUGACCCUUCACCUUGCUUCCUUGAGCUUCUGGCAAAGAUAUCUCUAAUGAGACAGAGAGGGGUAUUUUAAGGAAAAGAUUGUACAGCAAAUGCUGAUGCCAAUCAUUGAUUAUGGGUAUGUAGUAUAUGCAUCUGCAUCGCAAUCCCACAUUAAUAAACUCAACAAAUUGUAUAACUCGUUCUGCCGUUUUGUGCUACAAUGUAAUUACAGGACUCACCAUUGUGACAUGCUAAAAGAACUAAACUGGCUGUCGCUGGAAUCCAGACGCACCCUUCAUCUUUCCAGCCUUGUGUUUAAGAGCUUUUCUGGGAAACUCCCACCCUACCUGAACAAACUGCUUUCCACAGCUUUUCCCACUUCCUACAACCUCCGAUCCAGUGCCAACACUUUACUUAGUCUACCUCAAUACAAAAAGAAAGCGGCCCGAUCCUCCUUCUCCUACAGAGCACCGCAAUUGUGGAACGACCUCCCGCACACUUUAAAAUCUUCCCUAAGCCUAAAGUCCUUUAAGAGAUCCCUCUCUACAUACCUCAAAACAGAAUGCACGUGUCAUGGUUGAUUAUAUAUUUCCUACCUGUUCUAGGGAAAAUAGCAUGAUGCUCAAUAUAUUAGCAUGUAUAUUUUAUAUGCACUCUAUAUAAUUGUCUUUUUCUUUAGAUCCCUAUAUUUACUAUUGCUUCAGUCAUCUCAGUGUGAGAUGAUUAUUAAUUAAGUUUCUAAACAUUUUACAUACUUUUUAAAGUUUUUUUGCUUUAUUUUGGUUUGUAUGUUUAAAUCAAUAAUUGUCAUGUGAUGCAUGGCCCUUUAAAUAUCCUGAAAAUUAACUCUGCGCCUUAUAACCAGUGGUAAGAUUCUAACUUGAAUAUGAAUGACAUAUUUUAACAAUGACAUUACAGAGAGAAAAUUGUGCAUAUAAGGACUACAACAUUUAUCAUGGAAAUACAAAUAAUGUCAGUAAAAACUGUUUUAUUAAAAGGACUGUGCAAAAGCCAUGAUAGAUUGUGCGUUUAAAUUCAAU